rnacentral:rRNA from 1 species
UACGGGGGGAGCAAGCGUUGUUCGGAUUUACUGGGCGUAAAGGGCGCGUAGGCGGUCAGCACAAGUCAGUUGUGAAGUCUCCGGGCUUAACUCGGAAAGGUCAAUCGAUACUGCGGGGCUAGAGUGCAGAAGGGGCAACUGGAAUUCUCGGUGUAGCGGUGAAAUGCGUAGAUAUCGAGAGGAACACCUGCGGCGAAGGCGGGUUGCUGGGCUGACACUGACGCUGAAGCGCGAAAGCUAGGGGAGCGAACGGG